CUAAUUUGCUAAAUACCGACCAAAAUUUAUUAAAAUGUAAUAAGAGGUUAAUGAUGCAUGGUACCAAAGGCAGUAACGAGCAAAUAGCGAUUUUACAAUUUUUAUUUUGAUGGGUACUACCAAUUGUGUAUUUUUAUUUUUUAACGAUACGAAUCAAAAACGAAACUAGUAUAUGUCCGAUACGAAACUAGCUUAUAAUUUUUUUAACAACAAUGUAAAGCCAUCUUGAUUUAGGAUUAAACGAUAGUCAGAUCAUUCAAUACAUUUCAUGCAAUUAUUUCUUAAUAGACUAUCAAUCAAUACAAAUGUGAUACUUCAAACAAUAUUUUCUUAAAUUAUACUUAUGCAAUAUGAUUAUACUUAUUAAAUAUUUAAUCACUUUCAAAAUAUGGGACCCCCCAAAGCAAUAGAUGUUAUUCAAAACUCUGGCAAGGAAAAUAAAAUGAACAAAAAUCCUCUCACUUCUCUCCCAAAGAAUAAUAGAAUAGCAGUAUCUGAGUUGCAACCUGUUUUUGUAAAUUUAAUCAAUCACUUUCAAAAUAUGGGACCCCCAAAGCAAUAGAUGUUAUUCAAAACUCUGGUUUAAGAAAUAAAACAAAUUUACCAACUUAUCAAUUGUCAAAAAUUGUAACCACAAAUUCCUUCAAAAAUCAAGAUGAAAAUUCUGAAAUUCUAUAAAAACAUUAUGCUUUUUAAAGAAAUAAAUAUAUAUUUUUUUAUAUUACAUAUUUUUAAAUAAAUGUAUAAUUAUAAUAAAUUAUAUGAUAUGAUUA